rnacentral:lncRNA from 1 species
ACUGUUCAGUGACAUUACAUUCACGAAGCUGACAAUUAUUCAGAAGCACAGUCAACAGCAGUGGAAAAGAUGGCUCAUGUGUGGCUCAGGCUGACUCCACAAUCAGAAUACAAUAUCAGUUUCGAUGAGAUUCAUGCUGCAUGGAUGGUUACACCUGUCACCUGUGGAUGGCUAAUCUUAAUGCCUGUGAUGACAAGUAGACCACAGAGGAGAAUGCAAAGGAUUUGA